UAUACUUUGCCUUGACAACCUUUCCUUUUUUUUAUUAGGGGACACCCUCCCCCCCUCCUCAAAAAAUGCUUCCAUAAAAACAAUAGGCAAGGCCAUAAUUUAAAGAGAGAAAAAUGUGAUUAUAUAACACAUCCUGCAGUAAUCAAUUUUACCUCCAAUAUCUGCUUUUGUUUUCAAAAUGCUAAAUAAACAAUACAUAAUGCAUCCCUCAUCAGCCAAAACCAUGAGGGCUCUGUGCUCAAAUAACAGGAAACAUAUUCAAUUUUCCUAACAGAAGACAGUUCAUUAAGCUGUGCCACAUCAAAUAAAACUUUAAUUUCUCCAGCAUCAGAGUCGCAAUGAAAGCAAUUGAGGAAGAUGAGCCAUAUGGUACUUCUAUCAGCAAACACAUAUUGCUCAUUCCCCCAAAGUUUUCUAAUUCUGCUCCCCAGACCUGUGUAAUAUAGAUAAUGUGCUCUGAGCGCAGCAACCAUGAGCUAUCUGGUGUACACUUCUAAUACUGUAUUUAAUGGGAAAUAAUGAAUCAUAAAAGCCUGCAGAAGACGGCUUUUGCUAACCUAAAUCUCAGCUGUAAUUUCAUUGUUCUGUGCCUAAGAUGCUGUUUGCCCUUUUCAAACAGCAGCAGUUGAACAUAAUUAUGCUGCUACAAACCUGGGCUGCAAAAAGAAAGCCUUCCUAAUAGAACCAAGUUUUUAUUAACUCUUGAAAUCCUGAGCUUGGGGCAACUGCAAGCUGCCUGUCAGGUUUUAGGGUUCAUUAAAGCACACGUACACGUAUAUCUUGAUUUCCAGUGCGCAGCCCCACAAAUUAAAUUGAUGAUUCCCAUAUCGGGCCAAAAAUGCAACAGGAGAAGGCUAUGAAAAAUUAGGAAAUCUUCUUGACAUCGGGAAAUCCGACACUUGUCUGCUCUAACAUCUCUAAGUGCCAAGGAAAGAGGGGGAUUUUUUUUCCUUAAAGGUAAGUCUAUUUUUCUUCUUCUUGCCCGAUAUAAAAAUUGUGGUUAGUGCCUGGAGUAAAGGGCCCUCUAAACUUUAUAGUGUUUACCCUCCAUUUAUAAUUCCAUAAUUACCUAUUUAAUGAUAUCAUAAGGUUAAAAGUUAAACAGCACUGUAUUUUCUCUAUUUUCUCCUCUGCCUUUUAGAAAGGCAGGUUUGCCUGUCUCCAAGGGACGAUCGGUCAGGGUUGUUUUCUGAAGAAGAAGCCUAUAGGUAAAGAGGCAUCCAUAUGCUCACGCAGGAAGAUUCAUAAAGGCAAGGACAGGAACAUAAAGGUAUUAUUUUGACAUGAUGGCCCCUGGAAAAUGUCUGACUCAUCCCAACAACAGCCACCCCCACCCUGCCUUCCCCCUUGCAAAAUACCACGACCAAAAUCACCAGCAACCCAAGUCAGAGACAGACCAACAGCCUAAAACCUACAAUGAAUUUACAUCAUCUAUAUGGAGCUUUGGACCAACAGGUUGUUGCCACUUUUGCUGCCUUUGCCUCUGAGAAGUUGAGUAAAUCCUCUGGCCCCUUUCAAAUAUUUUCUCAUCUGCACUGAAUUUCUACUGACAAAGCAACUGAUAGAUACGGACCUCAGAAAUAUUUAUUAUCAAUGAAUAAAGUUUUUUUUUUUUUUUUUACUUAAUCUGAGGCAAUUAGUUCCUGAAUAAACACAGACUAAGUAAUCUACCACCUCAAAAGAUAAUCAGACUUGAAAAGCGCUGUUUGGUCCUACCCAAGAAAAGCACAACUUGAUUAAAAUGCUUUGGAGGUUCACUUUCAUUUCUUCCCUUUUGCUCCAGAAAACAUUUUAUAACAUCCCAAUAACUUUUAUUUUCUUCCCAUGCCAAACCUGGGGCCUCUGUUGGUUGUUGCUGUCCUUUUUCCCCACCUUCCCUAAAUCUUUAACCCUGCUUCUCAUUUUUCUUUGCCCCUAAUCUAAUCACUAAUUCCUUGGCUUGGCCAAAUAGUUAAAAAUGUUAAGUGCUGCUCACAAUUCCUGCUGCCUCCCCCAUGUAUCUGUCUCUGUUUAUGGAACAGGCCCUGGUUUCCUCCUGCUCUUGUUCAGCUGUAGGUCUGCAGGUCAGGAGACUGUAAAUACACACAGUGCUGCCCCAACCCAUAAAUCUGAGCAAAGGGCAGCCUUAUAUA